UACGAAGGGGGCUAGCGUUGCUCGGAAUCACUGGGCGUAAAGGGCGCGUAGGCGGCCGAUCAAGUCAGGGGUGAAAGCCUGUGGCUCAACCACAGAAUUGCCUUUGAUACUGUUCGGCUCGAGACCGGAAGAGGUAAGUGGAACUGCGAGUGUAGAGGUGAAAUUCGUAGAUAUUCGCAAGAACACCAGUGGCGAAGGCGGCUCACUGGCCCGGUACUGACGCUGAGGUGCGAAAGCGUGGGGAGCAAACAGGG
rnacentral:rRNA from 1 species